GGUCUCAGUUCNGAUUGCAGGCUGCAACCCGCCUGCAUGAAGUCGGAAUUGCUAGUAAUCGCGGAUCAGCAUGCCGCGGUGAAUACGUUCCCGGGCCUUGUACACACCGCCCGUCACACCAUGGGAGCCGGUAAUACCCGAAGUCAGUAGUCCAACCUCGUGAGGACGCUGCCGAAGGUAGGAUUGGCGACUGGGGUGAAGUCGUAACAAGGUAUC
rnacentral:rRNA from 1 species